AUUGAACGCUGGCGGCAGGCCUAACACAUGCAAGUCGAGCGGAUGAAGGGAGCUUGCUCCUGGAUUCAGCGGCGGACGGGUGAGUAAUGCCUAGGAAUCUGCCUGGUAGUGGGGGAUAACGUCCGGAAACGGGCGCUAAUACCGCAUACGUCCUGAGGGAGAAAGUGGGGGAUCUUCGGACCUCACGCUAUCAGAUGAGCCUAGGUCGGAUUAGCUAGUUGGUGGGGUAAAGGCCUACCAAGGCGACGAUCCGUAACUGGUCUGAGAGGAUGAUCAGUCACACUGGAGCUGAACCACGGUCAAGAGUCCUACGGGAGGCAGCAGUGGGGAAUAUUGGACAAUGGGCGGAAGGCUGAUCCAGCCAUGCCGCGUGUGUGAAGAAGGUCUUCGGAUUGUAAAGCACUUUAAGUUGGGAGGAAGGGCAGUAAGUUAAUACCUUGCUGUUUUGACGUUACCAACAGAAUAAGCACCGGCUAACUUCGUG
rnacentral:rRNA from 1 species